rnacentral:rRNA from 1 species
CGCGUAUGGAGCUUGCUCCCGGAUGUUAGCGGCGGACGGGUGAAGUAACACGUGGUAACCUGCCUGAAGACUGGGAUAACUCCGGGAAACCGGAGCUAAUACCGGAUAGUUCCUUGAACCGCAUGGUUCAAGGAUGAAAGACGGUUUCGGCUGUCACUUACAGAUGGACCCGCGGCGCAUUAGCUAGUUGGUGGGGUAAUGGCUCACCAAGGCGACGAUGCGUAGCCGACCUGAGAGGGUGAUCGGCCACACUGGGACUGAGACACGGCCCAGACUCCUACGGGAGGCAGCAGUAGGGAAUCUUCCGCAAUGGACGAAAGUCUGACGGAGCAACGCCGCGUGAGUGAUGAAGGUUUUCGGAUCGUAAAGCUCUGUUGUUAGGGAAGAACAAGUGCGAGAGUAACUGCUCGCACCUUGACGGUACCUAACCAGAAAGCCACGGCUAACUACGUGCCAGCAGCCGCGGUAAUACGUAGGUGGCAAGCGUUGUCCGGAAUUAUUGGGCGUAAAGGGCUCGCAGGCGGUUUCUUAAGUCUGAUGUGAAAGCCCCCGGCUCAACCGGGGAGGGUCAUUGGAAACUGGGAAACUUGAGUGCAGAAGAGGAGAGUGGAAUUCCACGUGUAGCGGUGAAAUGCGUAGAGAUGUGGAGGAACACCAGUGGCGAAGGCGACUCUCUGGUCUGUAACUGACGCUGAGGAGCGAAAGCGUGGGGAGCGAACAGGAUUAGAUACCCUGGUAGUCCACGCCGUAAACGAUGAGUGCUAAGUGUUAGGGGGUUUCCGCCCCUUAGUGCUGCAGCUAACGCAUUAAGCACUCCGCCUGGGGAGUACGUCGCAAGACUGAAACUCAAAGAAUUGACGGGGGCCCGCACAAGCGGUGGAGCAUGUGGUUUAAUUCGAAGCAACGCGAAGAACCUUACCAGGUCUUGACAUCCUCUGACAACCCUAGAGAUAGGGCUUUCCCUUCGGGGACAGAGUGACAGGUGGUGCAUGGUUGUCGUCAGCUCGUGUCGUGAGAUGUUGGGUUAAGUCCCGCAACGAGCGCAACCCUUGAUCUUAGUUGCCAGCAUUCAGUUGGGCACUCUAAGGUGACUGCCGGUGACAAACCGGAGGAAGGUGGGGAUGACGUCAAAUCAUCAUGCCCCUUAUGACCUGGGCUACACACGUGCUACAAUGGACAGAACAAAGGGCUGCAAGACCGCAAGGUUUAGCCAAUCCCAUAAAUCUGUUCUCAGUUCGGAUCGCAGUCUGCAACUCGACUGCGUGAAGCUGGAAUCGCUAGUAAUCGCGGAUCAGCAUUCCGCGGUUGAAUCGUUCCGGGCUGUCACCCCCCGCCGGGAANAGAUAUGGAAACAUCGAAAAUACCCGCCUCAAGAUAUCUACACAAGAACUCGCAUCUACCAGAUAACACAAUAAAACAAUAAUACACAAUUACUCAAACCCACCAAAAAAACACAGAGACACACACCGUGC